AGGGAUUGUAAAGGCACCAAUCAGCGCCCUGUCAAAACAGACCACUGGGCUCUACCAAUCAGCAGGAUAUGGGUGGGGCCAGAUAAGAGACUAAACGCAGGCUACGGGAGCCAGCAGUGGCAACACGCUCGGGUCCCCUUCCACACUGUGGAAGCUUUGUUAUUUCACUCUUUGGGUCCACACUGCUUUUAUGAGCUGUAACACUCACCGCAAAAGUCUGCAGCUUCACUCCUGAAGCCAGGGAGACCACGAGCCCACCGGGAGGAACGAACAACUCCAGACGCGCCACCUUAAGAGCUGCAACACUCGCCGCGAGGGUCCGCGGCUUCAUUCUUGAAGUCAGUGAGACCAAGAACCCACCAAUUCCGGACACAGCACCAGGGUGACUUGACACUCUGGGCUAAAGCAUUGCAAGUUCUGCUGUUCUAAGAAAGAUGGAAACAGAGCAGCCUGGGCUGUUCCAGCCAGUUUCUCUUUAUCUCAGAGUGUUCCAUUCCCAGCAUAUUCUACAAUUGUUCUUGAGAAUUAUAAGCAGGAAAGAGAAGAAGAGUUUGGGUCAUCUGGCGACUUCUCCUGCAUGACACCGUGGAACUUAUUUUCACAACACUCUUAUAAGAAGGCAAGACAAAAAAGCCCUUCAGGCAAUAACUUGGAAUCUGUGAAGGGUCAACAUUGCUCUUGGUUUUCACUUCCCUCGUCUUUCCUCAUUAUUAGAAUACAUCAACA
rnacentral:lncRNA from 1 species